AGGACGAACGCUGGCGGCGUGCCUAACACAUGCAAGUCGAACGCGCUCCAUUCGGUAGCAAUACUGAUGAAGAGCGAGUGGCGAACGGGUGAGUAGCACGUGAGCAACCUGCCCCGAAGACUGGGACAACACCGGGAAACCGGUGCUAAUACCGGAUAUCCCUAUCGGACCGCAUGAUCUGAUAAGGAAAUGGAUUCCGCUUCGGGAGGGGCUCGCGGCCUAUCAGCUAGUUGGUGAGGUAAUAGCUCACCAAGGCAUCGACGGGUAGCUGGUCUGAGAGGACGAUCAGCCACACUGGGACUGAGACACGGCCCAGACUCCUACGGGAGGCAGCAGUGGGGAAUCUUGCGCAAUGGGCGAAAGCCUGACGCAGCAACGCCGCGUGGAGGACGAAGGCUUUCUGAGUUGUAAACUCCUUUCAGCAGGGACGAUUGUGACGGUCCUGCAGAAGAAGCACCGGCCAACUACGUG
rnacentral:rRNA from 1 species